GACGAACGCUGGCGGCGUGCUUAACACAUGCAAGUCGAACGGAAAGGCCCUGCUUUUGUGGGGUGCUCGAGUGGCGAACGGGUGAGUAACACGUGAGUAACCUGCCCUUGACUUUGGGAUAACUUCAGGAAACUGGGGCUAAUACCGGAUAGGAGCUCCUGCUGCAUGGUGGGGGUUGGAAAGUUUCGGCGGUUGGGGAUGGACUCGCGGCUUAUCAGCUUGUUGGUGGGGUAGUGGCUUACCAAGGCUUUGACGGGUAGCCGGCCUGAGAGGGUGACCGGCCACAUUGGGACUGAGAUACGGCCCAGACUCCUACGGGAGGCAGCAGUGGGGAAUAUUGCACACUGGGCGGAAGCCUGAUGCAGCAACGCCGCGUGCGAGAUGACGGCCUUCGGGUUGUAAACCGCUUUCGCCUGAGACGAAGCGUGAGUGACGGUAAUGGGUAAAGAAGCACCGGCUAACUACGUG
rnacentral:rRNA from 1 species